rnacentral:rRNA from 1 species
UACAGAGGGUGCGAGCGUUGUUCGGAAUUAUUGGGCGUAAAGCGCGUGUAGGCGGCGAUGCAAGUCGGGUGUGAAAGCCCUCAGCUUAACUGAGGAAGUGCGCCCAAAACUGCGUUGCUUGAGUACCGGAGAGGAUGGCGGAAUUCCCCAAGUAGAGGUGAAAUUCGUAGAGAUGUGGAGGAACACCAGUGGCGAAGGCGGCUUUCUGGUCUGUAACUGACGCUGAGGCGCGAAAGCGUGGGGAGCAAACAGG